GAUGAACGCUGGCGGCGUGCCUAAUACAUGCAAGUCGAGCGAACGGACGAGAAGCUUGCUUCUCUGAUGUUAGCGGCGGACGGGUGAGUAACACGUGGAUAACCUACCUAUAAGACUGGGAUAACUUCGGGAAACCGGAGCUAAUCCCGGAUGAUAUUUUGAACCGCAUGGUUCAAAAGUGAAAGACGGUCUUGCUGUCACUUAUAGAUGGAUCCGCGCUGCAUUAGCUAGUUGGUAAGGUAACGGCUUACCAAGGCAACGAUGCAUAGCCGACCUGAGAGGGUGAUCGGCCACACUGGAACUGAGACACGGUCCAGACUCCUACGGGAGGCAGCAGUAGGGAAUCUUCCGCAAUGGGCGAAAGCCUGACGGAGCAACGCCGCGUGAGUGAUGAAGGUCUUCGGAUCGUAAAACUCUGUUAUUAGGGAAGAACAUAUGUGUAAGUAACUGUGCACAUCUUGACGGUACCUAAUCAGAAAGCCACGGCUAACUACGUG
rnacentral:rRNA from 1 species